GCGGCGUGCUAAUACAUGCAAGUCGAGCGAAUGGAUUAAGAGCUUGCUCUUAUGAAGUUAGCGGCGGACGGGUGAGUAACACGUGGGUAACCUGCCCAUAAGACUGGGAUAACUCCGGGAAACCGGGGCUAAUACCGGAUAACAUUUUGAACUGCAUGGUUCGAAAUUGAAAGGCGGCUUCGGCUGUCACUUAUGGAUGGACCCGCGUCGCAUUAGCUAGUUGGUGAGGUAACGGCUCACCAAGGCAACGAUGCGUAGCCGACCUGAGAGGGUGAUCGGCCACACUGGGACUGAGACACGGCCCAGACUCCUACGGGAGGCAGCAGUAGGGAAUCUUCCGCAAUGGACGAAAGUCUGACGGAGCAACGCCGCGUGAGUGAUGAAGGCUUUCGGGUCGUAAAACUCUGUUGUUAGGGAAGAACAAGUGCUAGUUGAAUAAGCUGGCACCUUGACGGUACCUAACCAGAAAGCCACGGCUAACUACGUGCCAGCAGCCGCGGUAAUACGUAGGUGGCAAGCGUUAUCCGGAAUUAUUGGGCGUAAAGCGCGCGCAGGUGGUUUCUUAAGUCUGAUGUGAAAGCCCACGGCUCAACCGUGGAGGGUCAUUGGAAACUGGGAGACUUGAGUGCAGAAGAGGAAAGUGGAAUUCCAUGUGUAGCGGUGAAAUGCGUAGAGAUAUGGAGGAACACCAGUGGCGAAGGCGACUUUCUGGUCUGUAACUGACACUGAGGCGCGAAAGCGUGGGGAGCAAACA
rnacentral:rRNA from 2 species